rnacentral:rRNA from 1 species
ACUUUCAACAACGGAUCUCUUGGUUCUCGCAUCGAUGAAGAACGCAGCGAAAUGCGAUAAGUAAUAUGAAUUGCAGAUAUUCGUGAAUCAUCGAAUCUUUGAACGCACAUUGCGCCCUUUGGUAUUCCAAAGGGCAUGCCUGUUUGAGCGUCAU